rnacentral:rRNA from 1 species
UACGAAGGGUGCAAACGUUGCUCGGAAUUAUUGGGCGUAAAGCGCACGUAGGCGGUUCGUUAUGUCGGAUGUGAAAGCCCUCGGCUUAACCGAGGAAGUGCAUCCGAAACUGGCGAGCUUGAGUACGGAAGAGGGUCUCGGAAUUCCCGGUGUAGAGGUGAAAUUCGUAGAUAUCGGGAGGAACACCAGUGGCGAAGGCGGAGACCUGGGCCGAUACUGACGCUGAGGUGCGAAAGCGUGGGGAGCAAACAGG